GAUGAACGCUAGCGGCAGGCCUAAUACAUGCAAGUCGAACGAGAUUAAGAGGCUUGCUUCUUAUGAAAGUGGCGCACGGGUGCGUAACGCGUAUGCAACCUACCUUAAUCAGGGGGAUAGCCCGAAGAAAUUCGGAUUAAGACCGCAUAAAAACACAGGAUAGCAUUAUCCAAUGUUCAAAUAUUUAUAGGAUUAAGAUGGGCAUGCGUGUCAUUAGCUAGUUGGCGGGGUAACGGCCCACCAAGGCGACGAUGACUAGGGGAUCUGAGAGGAUGACCCCCCAGACUGGUACUGGGACACGGACCAGACUCCUACGGGAGGCAGCAGUAAGGAAUAUUGGUCAAUGGAGGGAACUCUGAACCAGCCAUGCCGCGUGCAGGAAGACAGCCCUCUGGGUCGUAAACUGCUUUUAUUCGGGAAUAAACCUUUCUACGUGUAGGAAGCUGAAUGUACCGAAGGAAUAAGGAUCGGCUAACUCCGUG
rnacentral:rRNA from 1 species